UACAGAGGGUGCGAGCGUUAAUCGGAAUUACUGGGCGUAAAGCGCACGUAGGUGGCGACGUAAGUCGGGUGUGAAAGCCCCGGGCUCAACCUGGGAAUUGCAUUCGAGACUGCAUUGCUGGAGUACGGAAGAGGAAGGCGGAAUUCCCGGUGUAGCGGUGAAAUGCGUAGAUAUUGGGAGGAACACCAGUGGCGAAGGCGGCUCACUGGACCGGAACUGACGCUGAGGCGCGAAAGCGUGGGGAGCAAACAGG
rnacentral:rRNA from 1 species